UACGGAUAUUGGGCGUAAGCGCGCGCAGGCGGUUUCUUAAGUCUGAUGUGAAAGCCCACGGCUCAACCGUGGAGGGUCAUUGGAAACUGGGGAACUUGAGUGCAGAAGAGAAAAGCGGAAUUCCACGUGUAGCGGUGAAAUGCGUAGAGAUGUGGAGGAACACCAGUGGCGAAGGCGGCUUUUUGGUCUGUAACUGACGCUGAGGCGCGAAAGCGUGGGGAGCAGACAGGAUUAGAUACCCUGGUAGUCCACGCCGUAAACGAUGAGUGCUAAGUGUUAGAGGGUUUCCGCCCUUUAGUGCUGCAGCUAACGCAUUACGCACUCCGCCCGGGGAGUACGGUCGCAAGACUGAAACUCAGAGGAAUUGACGGGGGCCCGCACAAGCGGUGGAGCAUGUGGUUUAAUUCGAAGCAACGCGCAGAACCUUACCAGGUCUUGACAUCCUCUGACAACUCUAGAGAUACAGCGUUCCCCUUCGGGGGACAGAGUGACAGGUGGUGCAUGAUUAUCGUCAGCUCGGGUCGUGAUAUGUUGGGUUAAGUCCCGCAACGAGCGCAACCCUUGAUCUGAGUUGCCACCAUUUAGUUGGGCACUCUUACGUGACUGCCGGUGACAUACCGGAGGAAGGUGGUGAUGACGUCAAAUCAUCAUGCCCCUGAUGA
rnacentral:rRNA from 2 species